UCUGGUUGAUCCUGCCAGUAGUCAUAUGCUUGUCUCAAAGACUAAGCCAUGCAUGUCUAAGUAUAAAUGUUAUACAGUGAAACUGCGAAUGGCUCAUUAAAACAGUUAUAGUUUAUUUGAUAAUCGAAUUUACAUGGAUAACCGUGGUAAUUCUAGAGCUAAUACAUGCUGGUUAGCCUGACUUUUUGGAAGGGCUGUAUUUAUUAUAUAACAAAUCAAUAUUCCCCGUGUCUAUUGUGACGACUCAUAAUAACUGAUCGAAUCGCAUGGACUUUGUCCGCGAUACAUCAUUCAAGUUUCUGCCCCAUCAGCUUUCGAUGGUAGUGUAUUGGACUACCAUGGCUCUUACGGGUAACGGAGGAUUAGGGUUCGAUUCCGGAGAGGGAGCCUGAGAAACGGCUACCACAUCUAAGGAAGGCAGCAGGCGCGUAAAUUACCCAAUCCUGAUUCAGGGAGGUAGUGACAAGAAAUAACGGACCGAAGCCUAUGUUUCGGGUUUGCAAUGAGUAGAAUUUAAACCCCUUUACGAGGAUCAAUUGGAGGGCAAGUCUGGUGCCAGCAGCCGCGGUAAUUCCAGCUCCAAUAGCGCAUAUUAAAGUUGUUGCAGUCAAAAAGCUCGUAGUUGGAUUUCUGGGAGGGUGCCAAUGUCCGCUCGUUUGCGUGUGCAGCGGCGCCCUUCCAUCCUUCUGUUAACGUUUCUUGGUAUUCAUUUACUGGUUUCGGGCUCAGAUAUUUUACCUUGAGAAAAUUAGAGUGUUCCAGGCAGGCUUGCGCCGGAAUACAUUAGCAUGGAAUAAUAGAAUAGGACUUUAGUCUCCUUUGUUGGUUUGAGGGAUUGAAGUAUGAUUAAUAGGGAUAGUUGGGGGCAUUAGUAUUUAAUUGUCAGAGGUGAAAUUCUCGGAUUUGUUAAAGACUAACUUAUGCGAAAGCAUUUGCCAAGGAUGUUUUCAUAAAUCAAGAACGAAAGUUAGGGGAUCAAAGACGAUCAGAUACCGUCCUAGUCUUAACCAUAAACUAUGCCGACUAGGGAUCGGAGGCGCGCUUUAUCCGCCUUCGGCACCUUAUGAGAAAUCAAGUCUUUGGGUUCUGGGGGGAGUAUGGUCGCAAGGCUGAAACUUAAAGGAAUUGACGGAAGGGCACCACCAGGAGUGGAGCUUGCGGCUCAAUUUGACCCAACACGGGAAAACUUACCAGGUCCAGACAUAGUGAGGAUUGACAGAUUGAUAGCUCUUUCUUGAUUCUAUGGGUGGUGGUGCAUGGCCGUUCUUAGUUGGUGGAGUGAUUUGUCUGGUUAAUUCCGUUAACGGACGAGACCUUAGCCUACUAACUAGUCGAACCAAUUCCGAUUGGUUGCGACUUCCUAGAGGGACUUUGUGGGCCAAACACAAGGAAGUUUGAGGCAAUAACAGGUCUGUGAUGCCCUUAGAUGUCCUGGGCCGCACGCGUGCUACACUGACGCAUACAGCGAGUACGUCCCAGCUCCGCGAGGCAGCUGGUAAUCAGCAAUAUGCGUCGUGAUGGGGAUAGAUCUUUGAAUUAUAGAUCUUGAACGAGGAAUUCCUAGUAAGCGCAAGUCAUUAGCUUGCGCUGAUUAAGUCCCUGCCCUUUGUACACACCGCCCGUCGCUCCUACCGAUUUCGAGUGGUCCGGUGAACCUUUUGGACUGCGCGAGGCCUCGUGUCUUGUGUGGAAAAUCAAGUAAACCAUAUCACUUAGAGGAAGGAGAAGUCGUAACGAGGUU
rnacentral:rRNA from 1 species